GUGUCCCACCAACAAAACGGUGUGCCAUGCUCCAUCCUAAUGUCCUCUUUCAAGUGUUUUUGCUGUCGAUGCAUGGGGUAGAAGAUUGUGCCGUAUAGAAGACUGGGAUCCAUGAAAGCACACAGAAGUUCAAACGACAGGUGGGUAGACGGUCUUACCUCUGUGCCUCCUACGAAUCCAUUUGCGGAGCCCUUAAAGACCUCUUUGGAGAGCGGGUUGCUGUGGAUACGGUUAACUCAGUUGACGAAAGUUUGUGAUGACAGCUGCACCCUCCAAUGCCACUGGAAAAAAUCAAGCUUUUGUUUUGUCAGACUAGCUCUAUUUAAAAGGUUGACUGAAGCAUCAAAUGUAAAAGGGGGUUGAUAUUGCGUAACAUUUAUUAAAAUAAAUUUGAAGGCCAUUCAGUUUAAGUAGCUUAAAAUGUUAGAAAGCAAGAACUUACAAUGACAAGUUUGGUGGUGAGGUUGCACAUCAUGAUGACAAAAAUAUGUUUUAUUCAGAAAUAACAUGUUUUAGCUCUAUGUAGUGUUUUUGAAGGCAAUUUUUUUUUUUUUUUUUUUUUUUUUUUUCAACAGCAGUGUUAUAGUAAAAAAAACAACAAUAAAAUAAAACAUUUUCUUAAUGAUAAUAAAAUAACACUGAAACUUUCUUUGGUGUAGAAAUAAUUCCUGUACAUUUUCAAUUUGCUCACCAAA
rnacentral:lncRNA from 12 species